rnacentral:tRNA from 1 species
UCCCUGGUGGCCUAGUGGUUAAGGGUUCGGUGUUGUCACUGCUGUGGCUUGAGUUCGAUCCUUGGCCUGGGAA